rnacentral:rRNA from 1 species
UACAGAGGUCUCAAGCGUUGUUCGGAUUCAUUGGGCGUAAAGGGUGCGUAGGUGGCGCCGUAAGUCAGGUGUGAAAUUUCGGAGCUUAACUCCGAAAACUGCAUUUGAUACUGCGGUGCUUGAGGACUGGAGAGGAGACUGGAAUUUACGGUGUAGCAGUGAAAUGCGUAGAGAUCGUAAGGAAGACCAGUGGCGAAGGC